rnacentral:rRNA from 1 species
AGAGUUUGAUCCUGGCUCAGGACGAACGCUGGCGGCGUGCCUAAUACAUGCAAGUCGAGCGAGCUUGCCUAGAUGAAUUUGGUGCUUGCACCAGAUGAAACUAGAUACAAGCGAGCGGCGGACGGGUGAGUAACACGUGGGUAACCUGCCCAAGAGACUGGGAUAACACCUGGAAACAGAUGCUAAUACCGGAUAACAACACUAGACGCAUGUCUAGAGUUUAAAAGAUGGUUCUGCUAUCACUCUUGGAUGGACCUGCGGUGCAUUAGCUAGUUGGUAAGGUAACGGCUUACCAAGGCAAUGAUGCAUAGCCGAGUUGAGAGACUGAUCGGCCACAUUGGGACUGAGACACGGCCCAAACUCCUACGGGAGGCAGCAGUAGGGAAUCUUCCACAAUGGACGCAAGUCUGAUGGAGCAACGCCGCGUGAGUGAAGAAGGGUUUCGGCUCGUAAAGCUCUGUUGGUAGUGAAGAAAGAUAGAGGUAGUAACUGGCCUUUAUUUGACGGUAAUUACUUAGAAAGUCACGGCUAACUACGUGCCAGCAGCCGCGGUAAUACGUAGGUGGCAAGCGUUGUCCGGAUUUAUUGGGCGUAAAGCGAGUGCAGGCGGUUCAAUAAGUCUGAUGUGAAAGCCUUCGGCUCAACCGGAGAAUUGCAUCAGAAACUGUUGAACUUGAGUGCAGAAGAGGAGAGUGGAACUCCAUGUGUAGCGGUGGAAUGCGUAGAUAUAUGGAAGAACACCAGUGGCGAAGGCGGCUCUCUGGUCUGCAACUGACGCUGAGGCUCGAAAGCAUGGGUAGCGAACAGGAUUAGAUACCCUGGUAGUCCAUGCCGUAAACGAUGAGUGCUAAGUGUUGGGAGGUUUCCGCCUCUCAGUGCUGCAGCUAACGCAUUAAGCACUCCGCCUGGGGAGUACGACCGCAAGGUUGAAACUCAAAGGAAUUGACGGGGGCCCGCACAAGCGGUGGAGCAUGUGGUUUAAUUCGAAGCAACGCGAAGAACCUUACCAGGUCUUGACAUCCAGUGCAAACCUAAGAGAUUAGGUGUUCCCUUCGGGGACGCUGAGACAGGUGGUGCAUGGCUGUCGUCAGCUCGUGUCGUGAGAUGUUGGGUUAAGUCCCGCAACGAGCGCAACCCU